rnacentral:RNase_P_RNA from 2 species
GGAGUGGGCCGGGUGGUCGCUCCGAUCGCAAGACCGGGGAGGAAAGUCCGGACUCCACAGGGCAGGGUGGUGGGUAACGCCCACCGGGGGCAACCCCAGGGAAAGUGCCACAGAAAAGAUACCGCCACGUCGGCAGCCCUUGCUCUCUUUCUUGUUGAGGGCUGCCCGCGGGGUAAGGGUGAAAUGGUGCGGUAAGAGCGCACCAGCAGCCCGGCGACGGGCUGGCUUGGCAAACCCCACCCGGAGCAAGGCCAAAUAGGAGGGCGAUCCCCUGCUGCAGAGCGGGGGAGAAGGGUGGCCCGCCCGGAGCCCUCGGGUAGGCCGCUAGAGUCCUGCAGCAAUGCGGGACCCAGAGGAAUGACCAUCCUUCGCCGCGAGGCGAAGACAGAAUCCGGCUUACAGGCCCACUCCAGCC